UAUGGUAAUUGUGUGCGCCGCGGUAAUACGAAGGGGGCAAGCGUUGUUCGGAAUUACUGGGCGUAAAGGGAGUGUAGGCGGUUAUGUAAGAUAGUGGUGAAAUCCCAGAGCUUAACUUUGGAAUUGCCAUUAUGACUAUGUGGCUAGAAUUACAGAGAGGAUAGUGGAAUACCCAGUGUAGAGGUGAAAUUCGUAGAUAUUGGGUAGAACACCAGUGGCGAAGGCGACUAUCUGGCUGUAUAUUGACGCUGAGGCUCGAAAGCAUGGGGAUCAAACAGG
rnacentral:rRNA from 1 species